GACGAACGCUGGCGGCGUGCCUAAUACAUGCAAGUAGAACGCUGAAGAGAGGAGCUUGCUCUUCUUGGAUGAGUUGCGAACGGGUGAGUAACGCGUAGGUAACCUGCCUGGUAGCGGGGGAUAACUAUUGGAAACGAUAGCUAAUACCGCAUGAAAUUGCUUAUCGCAUGAUAAUUAAUUGAAAGAUGCAAUUGCAUCACUACCAGAUGGACCUGCGUUGUAUUAGCUAGUUGGUGAGGUAACGGCUCACCAAGGCGACGAUACAUAGCCGACCUGAGAGGGUGAUCGGCCACACUGGGACUGAGACACGGCCCAGACUCCUACGGGAGGCAGCAGUAGGGAAUCUUCGGCAAUGGGGGGAACCCUGACCGAGCAACGCCGCGUGAGUGAAGAAGGUUUUCGGAUCGUAAAGCUCUGUUGUAAGAGAAGAACGGGUGUGAGAGUGGAAAGUUCACACUG
rnacentral:rRNA from 1 species